rnacentral:rRNA from 1 species
UACGUAGGGUGCAAGCGUUGUCCGGAAUUAUUGGGCGUAAAGAGCUCGUAGGCGGUUUGUCGCGUCGGCUGUGAAAACUCGGGGCUCAACCCCGAGCCUGCAGUCGAUACGGGCAAACUUGAGUGUGGUAGGGGAGACUGGAAUUCCUGGUGUAGCGGUGAAAUGCGCAGAUAUCGUCAAGAACACCGAUAGCGAAGGCAGCUUACUAGGCUGUAACUGACGCUGAGGCACGAAAGUGUGGGGAGCAAACAGG